GCAACGAAAACCUGAAGGGUGUCUUGAAGGCCUUGGAUUCAGUAAAGACUAAGGGUAAGCAAGCUCCCUUUUCUGAUUUUGAUCCUUCAAGCCUAUUGCCUAAAUCCUUGGAUUACUGGACCUGCAAUGGCUUUCUGACUCAUCCUCCCCUCCAUGAAAGUGUCAGCUGGAUUAUCCUUAAAGAGCCAAUUACUAUCAGCUCAGAGCAGCUGGUUCAAUUCCACACAAUCUUGUCUUCUGCUGAAGGGGAAGCACCUUGUCCCAUACUGAGCAAUCGCCGGGAAACCCAACCACUGAAAGACAGAGUGGUGAGAGGCUAAUUCCAGACAAGCAAGGCAAAUCUGGAGCCCAGUCUGCUCAGCAGGAGCAACACACCUAGACAAAGACUGUGGAAAAAUCUUCCAAAGUAGUGAGAAUGUCCAUGUGUUCUUAG